AAAACCCCUUAAAUUACAAAUAACGAUAGUGAUAUCAACUAUUAUUUACAACUCAGAGAGUCAUCUGUUAUUGAGACUACAAGGAACAUCUGAGUUCAGGAUUAAGACAAGAAAAAUUAGUGGCUUGAUGGAGCUUGUAAUUCUUGUCCCAUGUUGUUUCUUCCUUGCAGCUUUAAUAAAGUUCCUUUAUAAUUACUUGUGGGUACCUCUCCGUAUACAGCAUAUGAUGAAUUCACAGGGAAUCAAAGGACCUCCUUACAAAUUCAUCCAUGGAAACAAUGAAGAAGCUACCAAGAUGAGACAAGAAGCAUUAAGCAAACCUAUGGCCUUGAGGCAUGAUAUAUUUCCUAGAGUGCAGCCACAUAUUUACACCUGGAUCAACAAAUAUGGGAGGAAUUAUAUUUAUUGGAAUGGUAUUCGAGCUGUACUAGUGAUUUCAGAACCUGAACUAGUCAGAGAGGUUCUGAAAAAUAAUGAAAAUAUAUUUCCAAAAAAGAAGCCUUCGAUUUAUUUUAGCAACCUACUGGGGAACGGGCUUGUGUUGAUUGAGGGUGAAAAAUGGUUGAAGCGUCGGAAGCUUGCCAAUCAUGUUUUCCAUGGGGAAAGCUUAAAGAACAUGAUACCAGCAGUAAUUGCGAGUGCUGAAACAAUGCUAGAGAAAUGGAAAGGCCAAGAAGGCAAAGAGAUUGAAGUGUUUCAAGAAUUUAGAUUAUUGACUUCAGAAGUGAUAUCCAGAACAGCUUUUGGUAGCAAUUACUUGGAAGGGGAGAAGAUCCUUUCCAUGUUGAAAGAGUUGUCUGUAAUUAUGAGUCGAAAUAAUUUCAAGACUAGGAUUCCUCUCAUCAACAAGUUAUGGAAACCUGCUGAUAUGCUAAGGUCAGAAAAACUUGCAAAAGGAAUACAAGAUUGUGUGAUGAAGAUUGUUAAGAAAAGAGAAGACAGAGUUAAGAAAGGAGAAGCUGAUAGUUUUGGUAAUGAUUUUCUAGGAUUACUUGUAAAUUCCUAUCAUUCGAAAGAUAAUAACAGUCUAUCAAUGGAAGACUUGGUAGAUGAGUGCAAAACAUUCUACUUUGCUGGACAAGGAACUAUUAAUUCCUUACUAGCAUGGAUAGUCUUGCUUUUAGCAACCCAUGGAGAUUGGCAGGAGAAAGCUAGAAGAGAGGUAAUUAACGUAUUCGGUAAUCGAAAUCCAGAUUCUGAAGGCAUUUCUAAACUCAAAAUUAUCACUAUGAUUAUUUACGAAACUCUAAGAUUGUAUGGUCCAUCAAAUGGCCUACCAAGAGGAGUUGCAAGAGAAGUGCAGUUGGGAAAACUAGUCUUGCCUUCUAACAUAGAUCUUCUGGUUCAAAAUAUUUCACUUCACCAUGACCCUCACCUGUGGGGAGAUGAUGUGCAUCUUUUUAAACCAGAGAGAUUUGCAAAAGGGAUUGCCAAAUCUACCAAUUACAAUGCCGCUGCAUUUUUUCCCUUUGGAUUAGGACCUCGAUCUUGUAUUGGUAUGUCCUUUGCAACCACAGAAACGAAGAUUGUGCUCUCCAUGAUUCUACAACGCUACACCUUUACCCUCUCCCCUUCCUAUGUCCACUCACCAAUGCCUAUUGUUGACCUUCAACCGCAACAUGGAAUUCAAGUAAUGCUUGAAUCACUGCAUAACAAUGAUUGAUGUACACAACAGCUUAGGACAUGGGAUUCAACUCUGUUUGUUCCAACAUUCACCUUUAAGAGGAUGCAAGGUGCGAAAUCAACACGGGCCGGCACAUAGGUAUGUGUCAAUGAUUGUCACUAAACUAACUAUAAAUACGACAAAGGCAAGCACACCUAUCGAACAAUAGUAUAGCUAUGGUGAGUAGGGAAUAUCGUAUCCACGAGAACUAAAAGUAUUAGUAAUUACCGUUUUUGUAUUAUUUAGCAGACAAAUUAGAGUGAUAGUGUUUUAAUCUAAAAUUACUAAACUAAGUUAUCUAAGAA